GCCACCAGGUCCAGGACUUGAACCACAGUCGACCAUCUGGGAGUUCAGUGACAUAACCACUACUCCAUUCGCUGGCCCCUUUUCUAGUCUUAAAAAAGCUCUAUGCAACAGUUUUGUGAAAAACAGAAUCGCAGUUUUGAUACAUACCUGUGAUUUCUCUCUCUCUCUCUCUUUAAUUUGCCAGAGGGUGUGUGUGCUCACCUGAAAGAGAAAGAGAGAGUGAGGGAGACAGAAAGCACCUCGCAGGGGAUGAUCAUCCCACAAGCCCGUCUCUAUCUCUCCCUCCUUUUGGGAUUCUGAGCACACACGUGCACACGCGUGUUGUUCAAGUAGCUGGGUCUGGUAUUGGACUCAGCCAUCAGCCUUGUGGGGUUAUUUUUCAUUCAUGGAUGUCUCCUUCAUUGUCACAAGAGUGUCCCAAGUGCAGUGAAGAACGUCGGUGGCUGUGCAUCCCAGAGAGCUGUUUCUCUGUAAGUCCCAGAGCCCUUUGCGACCGGCCAUGACUUCAAGGUGUUGGGCCAUCCUGCCUCUGCCCUUGUCACCUCCUCAGUCGCCAGGGCCUGAUCCCAGCAGGGGAUAGUGGCUCUUGGACAUGCGAGACCCAGCAGGACACAAGGGCUGUGUCAGAGGACCUGGGUGUCAGGCCGCACACUCUCUCACGGGGACUGGGGAGCCCUGGACCUCCAAGCCUUGAUUCCAUUCCUUUUCUUUGAAAUGGGAUGACAACAACCAGACGCGCCUCACGUGGAGCUGGGCCUGAGGCUGAGUUGCCCCGUGUUGUCUGCACUGUGGUUUAUUGGAUUCAUGAGGACUCUUCAGAUGUCAGCAACAGGAAAUCCAGCUCAACAGCAGUUUAGCCAUAAAGGGAAUUUAUUGGCUCGUAGAAGUGAAAAGUCCAGGUGCAAAGGCCCAGUGGAACCAGUACCUGAAGGACAUGACCUCAGGCCUGGGCAAGCUCCCUCCCACACACCCACUCCUCCCUGGCCAUGGGUGAGUGCGGAGUCUCCCCAGAGCCACCUGACCCUGACACCAAGAGGGCCCCUGCUCUGGCAGCCCGGGAGUGAGCACGCUGUCCUAGCUGCUCCCGGGGACCAGGCGGGGCUGGCCCAUGCCAUCUGCCCCGGGGCCACCAGCCCACCAGACUCAGAAACAGAGGGUAGGAAGGGUGGUGCCCCCAAGGAGGAGGGGAUUUCUCCAGAACAGGGACAGUCUGGGAAGGGCAAAGAGUAGGCAUCCUCCUCAGAGCCCAGUGUGUCUCCGGCUGGGCUACUGGGACGUCCCCGGGGAGGUGAGCCUGGGAGCCACUGCAAGAGCGGGGCUCCGUCCUGCGGCAGGACCCUCCUGGCGCUGUCACAGGUCCUCUCGGCCAGCUGGCAGCAAAGCCCUGAGCGUUCUCUUCCUGAAUCCCUGCAGUGGGGCCACACCCCCGGUGCCCUCACCGUGGCCAUGAGCAGGGAGGAGGCCUGGCUUCGGUGACCUCACAGGUGACUCAGUGCGCCGUAUACUACCUGGGUUAUGUGAAGGGCCCCACAGAGCUUUUACAGCUGAGAAAGCAGGCUGAUGUCCCCGAGAGCCAGACCAGGACGGGGGGUGAGCGGAGUGGGAGGGACGGGGCAGGCAGGGUAACAGGACAGGGGUCAGCCACAGUGCAGGGGCUAGGGGAGCUGCCCAUGCCAGUGCCCUGGCACUAGCUUUGUUUGGUUGGGAAAUUCGUUAUGCAGGAAGGGUGCCCCACCAGCCCCUGGCCGCUGAGAGGUGGGAGAGGCCAGCCCUGGACAGAUCUGUCCACCAUCUCCAGGGGUGACAUCCUGCUAUCUGCUCUGUUUGCACUUGGUCCCUGCCCUGAAGGCUCACAAGCCACCUGAUACGGGUCAGUCCAAACAGUACAGGGAGGGUGUGUGCCCGGCAAGGCAGGACGCGGGCCUCUUUUCCCCCAGGAGAGAGAGAUGGGGCUCAACACCAUUGGGAGCCGGGGACCUGCUGCUGAGGUGCAGGAGGGCAGAGCAACGUGUUUAAGCAAUGAGACACGCCAGGCUGUAUGGAAGACACAGAACGAACACAGAACCUGGUCUCCGAGCAGCUCACAGCUGAGUCGAAGAGUGACGGAGCAGUUCAGCAACCUCGAUACCAUCACCACCACCACCACGACAGCUGUCCCGCCCUGGCACUGCGCACCGGGCUCCAGCCGUGACACCUGCACAUACCCUACAGCCGCGCCAGGAGGUGCACGGUGGCUUCACCUCACAGACAAGGCACGGAGGGGCUGAGGGGCCACGCAUGCUGGCUGAGGUGACAGCUGACCAGGGGGCAGUCCACAUCUCUGUCUGACCGCAAGCUUGGCGCCCUGAGCCACCUUACGUGGUGUCUCAGCCGUGACUGCGAUGGUCACGAUGGGCGGGGACACACCACGGUGCAAGGGAAACGCCCCGAGCCGCAGUUCAUUCGCCUAUUAAACAAGGAUAAUGACCGGGA